rnacentral:rRNA from 1 species
GAUGAACGCUGGCGGCGUGCCUAAUACAUGCAAGUCGAGCGAACGGACGAGAAGCUUGCUUCUCUGAUGUUAGCGGCGGACGGGUGAGUAACACGUGGAUAACCUACCUAUAAGACUGGGAUAACUUCGGGAAACCGGAGCUAAUACCGGAUAAUAUUUUGAACCGCAUGGUUCAAAAGUGAAAGACGGUCUUGCUGUCACUUAUAGAUGGAUCCGCGCUGCAUUAGCUGGUUGGUAAGUUAACGGCUUACCAAGGCAACGAUGCAUAGCCGACCGGAGAGGGGGAUAGGCGACCUGGGAGGGUGAACGCGGUCCAGGGUCCUGAGGUAGGGAGCAGUAGGGUAUGGUCCGCAAUGGGGGAGAACCUGGCGGAGCGGGGGCGCGUGAGUGAUGACGGUCUUCGGUGCGUGAAACUCUGUUAUGAGUGGAAAACAUAUUUGUAAGUUACUGUGCACAGCGUGACGGUAACUAAUAAGAAAGCCCCGGCUAACUACGUG